GUGGGUUCCUAGGAGUGAGUAGUAAUGGAGAAACAAGACAACACUGAUGUCCAACACAGCAGCAAGAGACACUGCUUAGCCAUACGGGAAGCUGCUGCUUCUGUUGACAGGUUGCUUUGCUGUCCAAUUCUUCUCCUUAAAAGUCAGGACAACUAAUUGCUAUAAGCUGUCACAGGCUGUUCUCCUCACCUACAUAUUGUAUUUGAACUGAGGAACAACUUUCAUCAUCUUACCAGCACAGGAAAAAUAAUAUAGAUGUUUCCAAAUGAUUAAAAAUCAGAAGAGGGAAUGCUGAGGACUGUAGCCAGCUCAAGAAAAUUCAGCUUUGUUUAAGCAAGGCUAUAUAUUUUUAUGUUCAAGAAGUAUUAACACUUCCCUGUCUCACCUCAGCAGAUUUCAUUUUCUUGGAAUAAAUUGUUAGCAUUUGUAUAAAUUCGGCACAAUUAUUUUGGAGGCUCUUUGAGAGGGGGUUUUGCUUCAGAGCUCAAACAAGAGUGUUUGAGUGAAUUUUUGGCUUCAAGCAUGGAUGUUUUUUUAAUUGAAUGUGCCUGUCAAGACCUCUGGCUUCCUGUACAAACACAAAAUUAUGAGACAGACUAGCUUUCCAAAUCUGCAGUACCCUCACCAUCAUCCAACUGAUCCUCCUGAGGAGCAUCUGAUCAUUGCAUAUUCACAUGCAGAAAAACAGUGAAGAAGAAAACUAGACAAAGCUCAGGCAGUUCUUCACUAAAAAAUGUCAUCUUAUUGUUGUCCUCUCUGCCUCUUCCCUUUACCCACCCUUCUGUGCUAGUUGUGGACGUUAGCUUAAAUGCUUCAUUUGAAUGCUCUACUAAUGAUAUUUGCGGAUACCACAUGGGAAGUGCUUGGCUUUGGAAAAGCCUAUGUGCUGUACCAGUUAGAGGUUGUCCAAGUAAAAUCCACAAUCUUUUGGCUACAGAAGUGAUAUGGGAGACAGAGGAUGGAGUACAGGGAUAUUUUUUUGCUCUGAGAGAAAGAGAAGCCAUGUUCUCUGCUACCUGUGAAUUUAAUUCCUUGAGUCACUGAAAAAAACAAGUGGUGCUCUGAAGAGGGUACUGAUUAAUAGUAGUGACCUAAUUGACUUAAUUUGGGUUUAUGUUUCUGACACUGGUACAUUAAAAAUCGUUUAAGUG